CAGGACUGUGCUUAGGGCACAGAAGGUCCCUGUCCGUCCUGCCCCCGCACUGUAAUAGAGGAGACAAACAAUACACCAACCCUCUGGGCUGACAAGAUGUUCUCUCCUUCGCUGGCUUAGAAGAAACAAGCACCCAUACUGAGGUCCAUGUUGCAAGAAACUUCAAACAAGAGGCUUCCAGUCCAGCACCUACAAGGAACUGAAUGCUACCAACAACCAAGCGCGCUUGGAGGCGGAUCCUUCCCUGUCUGAGCCUCGGGGCUGGGGUAAGCGGUACCUGCAGUGCACGGUGAUGGGGUGGUUCCCUGACUGCUGCUGCUGCUUCUGCACGGCUGCGAUGAUGUUGAUCAUGCCCUUCCCAUCGCUGGGGAUGCCCACUUCAGGCCAACCAUGGAAGUGGAACUGCCGGAUCUGCCUGCUCUUGUUCUCCUUUGGAGGAAGGGCCAUCAGAGAAGAGUUCGACCGACCGGAAGUUCGAUCACUCGCUAUGAUGUGUGCUGACCACCAACGGGCAGCACGGAAUGAAGGAAGGCCCCAGCCAGCAGCAAGCAGCUGGGGAAGGGAGGCCCUGGCUGGCAGCUGCUAGGGACCCUAUCUGUGCACAAAUUUCAUGCACUGGGCCUCUAAUAAAUACAUAAAUAAAACAAAAUCCUGUUCAUUUCUUUAGAGCAUUUGGGGGAAUAUCUUAGAUACUUCAUUACUGGCAAUUUAAAAAUCCUUAAUAACCCCUACCAUCAGCCUGCGGACUGAAGGGUUCAAUUCCAGUCAAGGGCACAUAACUUGGUUGCAAGCUCCCGGCCCUGGUUGGAGGCAUGUGGGAGGCAACCAAUCAAUGUGUCUCCCUCACAUUGGUGCUUCUGUCUCUCCCUCUCCAUUCCACCCUCUCUAAAAAUCAAUGGAAAAAAUAUCCUCGGGUGAGGAUUUAAAAAAAUCAAUAAAAACACAUUUUAAAAAAAUCCUCAACCAUAACUGUGUUCUAUGUUCAUUAUAAAAGAUUUGGGGAUAUUAAGCAGAAAAAUAAAUACCACUGAUAGUUAAAGCUUUCUGACUCUCAAAGAAAAAAAGUCAAUUUUAGUACACUUUCU